rnacentral:rRNA from 1 species
AUUGUAGUCUGCAACCCGACUACAUGAAGCUGGAAUCGCUAGUAAUCGCGGAUCAGAAUGCCGCGGUGAAUACGUUCCCGGGUCUUGUACACACCGCCCGUCACACCAUGGGAGUCGGAAAUGCCCGAAGUCCGUGACCCAACCUACGGGAGGGAGCAGCCGAAGGCAGGUCGGAUGACUGGGGUGAAGUCGUAACAAGGUAAC